rfam:Pristionchus pacificus strain PS312 contig4871, whole genome shotgun sequence.
UCUUCAUUUCGCACACUCUCUCGUCGGUUAGAGACAGGCGAGAGAGCGUGCGAAAUGAGGAGA